UACGGAGGGUGCAAGCGUUAUCCGGAUUUACUGGGUUUAAAGGGUGCGUAGGCGGGCCUGUAAGUCAGUGGUGAAAUCUUCCCGCUUAACGGGAAAACUGCCAUUGAUACUAUAGGUCUUGAAUUCAGUUGAGGUGGGCGGAAUGUGUCGUGUAGCGGUGAAAUGCUUAGAUAUGACACAGAACACCGAUUGCGAAGGCAGCUCGCUACACGAUCAUUGACGCUGAGGCACGAAAGCGUGGGGAGCAAACAGG
rnacentral:rRNA from 1 species